AAUGAACGCUGGCGGCGUGCGUAACACAUGCAAGUCGAACGAGAAAAUUUCCGGGCUUUUGCUCGGGAGAGUAAAGUGGCGAACGGGUGAGUAACGCGUGGGUAACCUGCCCCUGAAUCUGGAAUAACUUCGCGAAAGCGAGGCUAAUACCGGAUAUUGUCCCAGGGACCUCGGUCUCUGUGAUGAAAGAUGACCUCUUCACGAAAGUUGUCGUUCAGGGGAGGGGCCCCGCGUACCAUUAGCUAGUUGGUAGGGUAAUGGCCUACCAAGGCGAUGAUGGUUAGCUGGUCUGAGAGGAUGACCAGCCACACUGGCACUGAAACACGGGCCAGACUCCUACGGGAGGCAGCAGUGAGGAAUUUUGCGCAAUAGGGGAAACCCUGACGCAGCAACGCCGCGUGAGUGAAGAAGGCCCUCGGGUCGUAAAGCUCUGUCAAGUGGGAAAAAGCUUGCUGGUAAAUAGCCAGCAAGACUGAUGGUACCAUUGAAGGAAGCACCGGCUAACUCCGUGCCAGCAGCCGCGGUAA
rnacentral:rRNA from 1 species